rnacentral:rRNA from 1 species
AUCAACUUUCGAUGGUAGGAUAGAGGCCUACCAUGGUGGUAACGGGUAACGGGGUGUUAGGGCACGACACCGGAGAGGGAGCCUGAGAAACGGCUACCACAUCCAAGGAUGGCAGCAGGCGCGCAAAUUACCCAAUCCCGACACGGGGAGGUAGUGACAAUAAAUAACAAUACGGGGCUCUUUAGGGUCUCGUAAUUGGAAUGAGUACAAUUUAAAUCUCUUAACGAGGAACAAUUGGAGGGCAAGUCUGGUGCCAGCAGCCGCGGUAAUUCCAGCUCCAAUAGCGUAUAUUAAAGUUGUUGCAGUUAAAAAGCUCGUAGUUGAAUUUCGGGAUCAGCAGGUUGGUCGUGCCUCUGGUAUGCACUGGUUUCGCUGAUUCCUCCUUUCUGAAGAACUGUAAUGUCAUUAAUUUGGUGUUGCAGGGAAACAGGACUGUUACUUUGAAAAAAUUAGAGUGUUUAAAGCAGGCUAACGCUUGAAUACAUUAGCAUGGAAUAAUGAAAUAGGACGUUUGAUCCUAUUUUGUUGGUUUCUAGGAUUGACGUAAUGAUUAAUAGGGAUAGUUGGGGGCAUUAGUAUUCAAUUGUCAGAGGUGAAAUUCUUGGAUUUAUUGAAGACUAACUACUGCGAAAGCAUUUGCCAAGGAUGUUUUCAUUAAUCAAGAACGAAAGUUAGGGGAUCGAAGACGAUCAGAUACCGUCGUAGUCUUAACCAUAAACUAUGCCGACUAGGGAUCGGACGAUGUUAAUUUUUUAAUGACUCGUUCGGCGCCUUACGGGAAACCAAAGUGUUUGGGUUC